rnacentral:rRNA from 1 species
AUUGAACGCUGGCGGCAGGCCUAACACAUGCAAGUAGAACGAGUGGCGGACGGGCGAGUAAUGUCUGGGAAACUGCCUGAUGGACGGGGAUAACUACUGGAAACGGUAACUAAUACCGCCUACCAUCUGAUGUGCCCAGGUGGGAUUAGCUAGUGGGCGGGGUAACGGCUCACCAAGGCGACGAUCCUUAGCUGGUCUGGGAGGAUGACCAGCCACACUGGAACUGCGACACGGUCCAGACUCCUACGGGAGGCAGCAGUGGGGAAUAUUGCACAAUGGGCGCAAGCCUGAUGCAGCCAUGCCGCGUGUAUGAAGAAGGCCUUCGGGUUGUAAAGUACUUUCAGCGGGGAGGCGUUACCCGCAGAAGAAGCACCGGCUAACUCCGUGCCAGCAGCCGCGGUAAUAC